rnacentral:rRNA from 1 species
CAGCCGCCGCGGUAAUACCGGCGGCCCGAGUGGCGGUCCCUCUUAUUUGGCUUAAAGCGUCCGUAGCCGGGUUGGGAAGUCCUCCGGGAAAUCUGGCCGCUUAACGGUCAGAAUGCCGGAGGAUACUCCCAGCCUAGGGAGCGGGAGAGGCCGAGGGUAUUCCCGGAGUAGGGGUGAAAUCCUAUAAUCCCGGGAGGACCACCUGUGGCGAAGGCGCUCGGCUGGAACGCGUCCGACGGUGAGGGACGAAGGCCAGGGGAGCAAACCGGAUUAGAUACCCGGGUAGUCCUGGCUGUAAACGAUGCGGACUUUGUGUCGGACAAGCUAUGAGCUUGUCCGGUGCCGGAGGGAAACCGUUAAGUCCGCCGCCUGGGGAGUACGGCCGCAAGGCUGAAACUUAAAGGAAUUGGCGGG